AUGGGAGACUUGAACGACAUCUUGUAUAAUAUCGAUGGGUGUAAUGGUAAUAUUAACUACUUUCGUAUCCAUGCUUUCCGCUCUCUUGUCAAAAAUUGUGGUAUGUUUGAUAUUGGUUAUAGAGGUCCAGCUUACACUUGGCGUGGUAGACAUAACACUUCUAAACCCAUUCACAAACGUCUUGAUCGAUGUCUGGUUAAUUCUUAGUGGUGCUCUUUUUAUCCCAACACUAAGGUUUUAAAUCUGCCUAUCAUUCUCAGUGAUCAUGCCCCUAUUUUAAUCCCUACUAAUGGUAAUUUUGUGAGACCUAAACAAACUUCCAAAUUUGAAAACUGGUGGCUUAUGGAACAAGACUUCCACUCCUUCACUAAGAAUGUUUGGAACAAUGCUUCUCAUACUUCUUUUGCAGCAAAAUCUUCCUAUCUUGCAGGGUCUCUCAAGACUUGGUGUUAG
rnacentral:rRNA from 1 species